rnacentral:misc_RNA from 1 species
AACAUCGCGCACCUGCGGGAACCUGCGGAAGGAUCAUUACCGAGUUAUACAACUCAUCAACCCCUGUGAACUUACCUACAACGUUGCUUCGGCGGGAACAGACGGCCCCGUAAAACGGGCCGCCCCCGCCAGAGGACCCCUAACUCUGUUUUUAUAAUGUUUUUCUGAGUAAACAAGCAAAUAAAUUAAAACUUUCAACAAUGGAUCU